UCCAAAGAAUAAACGCCUAUCGGAUUGGAGGGCUUGAAAUACAGCGUAUGUUUGUUGCUGUGUGGUAGCAACAUGGUAGAUUAUGGCUGCACACCAUAUUGGUAUUACUCUCACCAAGCAUUUUACUUCUUCUACUUGUUGUGUGCUGCAGAGUGUCCACGGAUCAGCUGCUGAUCCAUCUGAUUUGAAUUUGUCGUCUGAGGUUAUGAUUGCUGCCUUAUCUAAGAAGCUGCAUGCAAUAAAGGGGUUUUUGUUUUAGCUUUUAAGAUUUGUUUAAAACUUAAAAGCUUUGAAAGUGGAAGUACCUCAAUUGAUUAGUGUAAGGAAGCUUGGAAUUGAUAGAGUUCGAGGGAAUGUGGUUAAAAAGAGAUGACCAUUGCUGGUCUGGCAAUGGCAAUUGUCUUUUCUUGAGAGCAGCCAUUAGAACUCGCAGCACACUAGUGAAAGGACUCCCAUCAGGUUCUAAUUUGACGUAAAUCCACGAACCCAUGAAGAAAAGUGCACAGGAUAGGAACAUGAGGAAUGCAGGAAUGGCUAAUCCCCAAGCCCAGCUUACUUCAGUUUGGACAUAUACAAUGAUGGUUAAAGAUAUCAUCAUGGCAAAUUUGAAGGUGAAGUAGUACCAGUUGAAGAAGCUGUUUAUUCCUAACUUCCCGGAGACUGUGUUUGGAUUGAAUUGGUCUGCUCCAAAAGCCAAGUUGCAUGGUCUGAUUCCACCAGCUCCGAUUACAAGCAAUCCUAAUCCAAAUAACAGAAAUGCUAUCUGCCAUGGCGUUGGCUCUAGGCAAGCCCCGCCUGCACUGCCCUUUCCACAAUCUGGUGGGUGCAAUUUCUCAAUUGUUGCUGUCAGUGUUAGUACAACCAUCCCCUGGAAGCCAGUUAAUGCCAAAGCCCUUCACUGUGAUGGAAGGUACAGCAGGCUGUGAAAAUGCUAUUCCUGGCCUGAAGAUACAGCAAUUCACUGCCUCUCAAAGUUUUCAAAAGUGCUGAAUUGAUUAGACAGCUUUGGAUGGUGAGUUGAAUUUUGAAGGCCCGGAGUUAAUAUGUCUACGAAGUGAAUAUGUCUGUAAAGUUAAAAAGUUUGUGUUAGAGAUAGUUGUUAGAGUUGGUAGUCGGAGUUGGUCACUGAAAUUGAGUUUCGAAGUUGGCCACUAGUCGUAGUAGUCACGUGGAGCUGGAUGUCAGAAGUGGUUGUUAGAGAUGAUUUUCGAAGGUGGUUUUUUCGGGAGGUAGUUGUCAGAGGUGGCUGUCAAAGUUUAGUGGGCAGAAGUGGUCACAAAGCAUGCUGCAUAAGUGAGAUAACAGUAAUUACUAGCAGUCAUUGUUGCUAGAAGUUUGACAUUGGAGGUGGUCGUCGAGGUGGACUGUCGGAGGCAAUCGGAUCGAGUUGGCCAUCAAAGGUGGAUGAAGUUCCUUCAUACUAACGAAGUUGGUGAAAUGAGUUAUUUAACUCCGACUUAGAAAGUUGGUGGACAAAACAUUGAAUUUGAGUUGAAAACAUAACUCAACUAAAUUCGAGUAAAUGACCCAAAACAUCCCUGGUGACUUUUCUCCCCCUCAAGUCAAUUGUACCUGACUCUAGUAGAUAAGAAGAAAGGAAAAAAGUAUACCAUGAUUAGAGAGGGGGUCUUGUAUGGAAUCUAGAGUUAGUUUCAUAUGAUAAAGUCAUAGUGGAGGAUUUUUAGAGAUUGAACUUUUAGGAAGGGGAUAUAAUAGAAUGAUGUGAAAACAUCACUCAAACCUGUCAAUGUUAUUGGAUUGUGCUCAUUAAUUGAUCGUUUGUUUGUUUUUUUUCAAA